rnacentral:rRNA from 1 species
GUACGGGAGGCAGCAGUGGGGAAUUGUUCGCAAUGGGCGCAAGCCUGACGACGCAACGCCGCGUGGAGGACGAAGAUCUUCGGAUCGUAAACUCCUGUCGAGCGGGACGAACGGUUCCGCACCUAACACGUGCGGGAAGUGACGGUACCGCUAAAGGAAGCCCCGGCUAACUCCGUGCCAGCAGCCGCGGUAAUACGGGGGGGGCAAGCGUUGUUCGGAAUUACUGGGCGUAAAGGGCUCGUAGGCGGCCAACUAAGUCGGACGUGAAAUCCCUCGGCUUAACCGGGGAACUGCGUCUGAUACUGGAUGGCUUGAAUCCGGGAGAGGGAUGCGGAAUUCCAGGUGUAGCGGUGAAAUGCGUAGAUAUCUGGAGGAACACCGGUGGCGAAGGCGGCAUCCUGGACCGGCAUUGACGCUGAUGAGCGAAAGCCAGGGGAGCAAACGGGAUUAGAUACCCCUGUAGUCC